rnacentral:lncRNA from 1 species
UUCCGGCUUGCCUUCCGGUCCCCGUGAGCCACGAUGGAGCCCGGCGCCGACCUGAAGCGGAGCCUCGACGAGCUGGAGCAGGACGAGGAGACGGAUUCGGGCUCCGACUCGGAGGUAGGCAGGUGGGCGGCGCGGCCCCUCGCCCCCGCCCGAAGCGGGGCUGCCAUGGCGGCGGGCGGGCGGGCUCGCUCCAAGCACUCUUCUCCCCCUCCAGGAGCUGGUCGGCCCCGGCCGCCGGCGAGGCCUGCGUGGAGACUUCGCCGCGGGGUUCGUCUUCGCCGAGAAGGAGUUCGCUCGGCCCGGCGCCGGCGCCUGGGCGGAGGCCCUGAGCCAGCUGAAGGGCAAGAGGCCAGUCACGAGCCUGGAUGAGAAGAUUGCAGCAGUGAGGAGAAAAAGGAAAGCUCAGGUAGAAGCUUGCUUGCUUGGAAUCACAGACUCCUUGUGCUAGGUGGGGUCUAUCUGUGACAUCUGCAACAAGGUGCCUGAGUUCUCUAGUUGUGUGCCAUAAGUAGUAGAAGUUUUGUCAGCUUAUUAUUUGCAUGUGUUGAACAGAGGCUGCGUAGGCUGGGGUAAAGGAGCAUGGAAGGAAAACUUCCAGCAGAAUCUAGUGAGGGCCUGGCCAGGAACAAUCUGCCAAUAGCACAAGGUAUUGGUG